AUUGGGGUCCCUCAAGAUUACUUUUAAAAAAAAAAAAAUAUCACGAGUAGGCCCAAUAAACUACCAAAGACAACCUCGUUGUCAAACAAUUUGGUUCAUCAAGAAUCGGCGAUUUGGGACGGUUCUAGCAGCGGCGAUCUCCAUCGACGCGGUGGUUCUCCGGCGUGGGGAAGAGGCGUGAUACCUAGUGCUUUGGUAAUCUUUCAAGGGAGACUCUUGGGGAAACCUACCCCACACGCGCCAUUAUGACUGAUGUGGGCCAAAGCAAACUGGGAAAAGCUAGCGGGUCCACCUUAAAACCCCGGCUUCCACUUGAAUGUAACGGGGAUUCAAACCUUGGCAGCAAGGAGAGGAGUAAACUCCUUUACCACUAGGGCGGCCAUUGCGGUGAAUAUGGCGAUAUUAAGCCUGAUAAUCUCUUGGUCACUGCUGCUGGUACAGUGAAGAUUGGGGACUUAAGUGUCAGCCAGGUUUUUAAGUUUUCAAUUUCAAUUUAGUUUGAUGAAGCUCAGAAGUAAUUUAGAUCUUGAAUUAAAAGAUACUCUGGUAAUGCAUCUAUACAAGCCCUUUUAUAUCUUUUAGUUUUUUUUUUUUUCUCUCUCUCUCUCUCUCUCUCUCUCUCUCUCUCUUCCCUUCCUUUGAAUGCUGCCACAUCUGUAAUCUCCUUGUAAAUUAAACACUUCCAUCAAUGAACAAAACUCUAAGGUGUGUCAUGAGCUCAAUAAUUUGAAGCAUAAAUGCUUCAAUUUAAAGAAAGCAAAAAGACGCUUUAUAUCUAUAUCAAUUUUGCUUUGAUAAUGCAAGUGGUAGCUUUGCAUUGUUCUCCCUACUCUGUCGACAUGCAAGACUUAGCAUUCUGCCCAAUCAAUAAGACACAGAUGAGACGCUGUCUUCAUAUGCUAUAGAAAGAUCAGCCGAAACAUGGAAGAGUUCUAUUAUGAGGUCAUUCUUCGAGUAGCAUCUCAAGGGUCUAUUGAUUUUUGUUUUGCUUGGAACGUCUAUGGCAAUUGGUGAUGGUAUACUCACUCCUGCUAUAUCAGGUAGCUGAUAUUGAUAUUGCAGUGCUUUCUUCUUUCUUGUUUUAAACCUUGAUAUCCGUAAUGAAUAUAAAAUUCUAAAUUCAAUCGUUCAAUUCAGCCAAUCACCAAAAAAGAUAAAUAAAUAAAUAAAUCUCUAGCCUAGUGGUUGGUUGGAUUUUAACAAUGGAUUUCAAUUUGAGUUAUAUAAAUUUAUUUACUAACAUAAAAAUCAUAUGCGUUGUCUAGCAAAUGACAUGUCCAAACCUAUACUUGGAUGAACACUGCUCCUUAACACAUACCUUCAGCAGAGCUCUAUUUUGUAUAGCUAUAUGUAAUACAUGUAUUUCAAAUCUACUUCUAUCAUUCUUUUACAUUCAUCACUCGUGGAAAGGAGAAAAUGUGAUUUUUCUUUUCUUUUCUUUAUUUUUCCCUCAACAAUAACAUGGAAAAGUAAUGGUUGGCCAUUGUUGAAUUUGAGUUGGCUUUAGAUUUAAUAGGAUAAGUUCUCCAUUUGGACUUAUGAAGUUGAAAAUCUCUCAAUAUUCUCUUGAAGUAGGUUGUCUGCCUAUGUUCUUAUUGAUGAUUUUGCUCAUAGAGAUAAUAACGUAAUUUAAAUUUACUCUUUGGCAUGGACCAACUGAAUUUGUGACAAGGGGUAAGCAUAUUCAUGAUGUAACAAAAAUUAUGGGGGUAAAGUAAAGAAUCUUAACCAAAGAUUGUGUUACUGGAAUUAUUUUUUAGUGUGCAAGAGUGAAAAUGACAGUUCUUCUGUCUGUUUACAUGCCUAACAGUUGUGUUUUAUAUGAGUUCUAUGAUGGAAAUUUUUCUCUCUUUUUCCACUGAAUUCUAAAUGAUGAAACACAAAUUCCAAGUCAAAACGGAUAUGUGAAGGAUUUUUCAAUUCCAUGUACAGGGACUUCUCUAUCUGUUCUAUUUUUAGAAAGGUUGUAUUUUCAGGAUUACAGUUCCAUUAUUUUAAGAGAUUUGCAUGUUUCCUUUUUUUUUUUAGUUCUUUUAGCAAUUUCAGGUGUUAAACUUAAAUUCACAGGACUUCAUGAGAGUAAGUUUAGUUCUUUGUUACCUUUAUGUUAUGUUUGGAUCUUGGAUGUGCAGGCAAAGGGGAAGAAGGAAAAAAAAAAGCCUCUACUUCAUUUAAUUUUCUCUUACCUUUUCUUUUCUCUCCACAAAUCUAAGAUCCAAACACAACCUUAAAUAUAACAUUAUCACGUGGAAUCCGCAUAUAUUUCAUGCACUUUUUCCAGUUUACAUGUUGAAGUUCCUCAGAAGCACUGGUAUUGAAGGUUGGGUGUCCCUAGGGGGCAUGGUUCUCUCAAUCACAGGUAACGUUUUUAGUGCUUCUGAUAUAAUUUAGUUGUAUACUUGCUAAUGAAUAAGGCUACUGGAAACUUGUUUUCUUCAUAUUAUUUACCAAAUGCUGGUUGUUUCAUGAAGUGUGUUUCAAAAACACUAGGCUGAAUAAAAACAAGUUCAAAAGUGCUUGGUUUGUUAAUUUGUUUCGAAAGACUUGGGUUUGGUUAAAAAAGAAAAAGAAGCUCAAUUAUAUUGCUCAUCUUUUCCUAUUGUUUGCUCCAACAUUUCUUUAUCUGAAUUAUGAUUCUUCGAAGAGCAAUAUGUGAAUUUCCGUAUUCUAGAAGCCAUAUGUGUGUUAGAUAUCAAUUUUAACAAGAUAAACCUAGGGCAGAGUAGUGAUUAUAUAUACUUUUUUUAUCCGUUCUUUGUCCCUUCCUUUCUCACUGAUCAUUAAUCUCAAAAUUUGGUUUCAAAGGCCACAAGAUACGAGGUCUUGAAAGUUGCUAGCAAACCAAAAUACGGGACAUUGGAAUCUGAUUGAAAGGUACAAUAUAAUGCUUCAAUCACCCAUUCUAUUGUUAAUGGCUACUAACCUAGGAAUACAUAUAUUACAUGUAUAUAUAUAUAUAUAUAUAUAUUUCCACAAAUUACUUUGAUGAUGAUUGGAUUGUAGAUGAACAACAUGAAUAUGUAGAAGUAACUUCAAAGUAUAAUGUAAUAGUUAAGGCUUAUAUCAAGGAAAUGGGAAAUCUAUGCUUUGUAAACAUUUUGAUGUAUACGAUCUUUUCUUGAUUAUUGUAAAACUAAUAAAAAUUAAAGGCACCUCAUUUAGUAUAUGUUCUGAUUUUUCUUUUUGCAUUAAUUACUACAGACUGAAAAGUGGAAUGAGCAACAGGAGAAUGGGAUUUUCGUAGGGCCUCUUUAAUUGAACAUCUUCACUUGGCAUGGAGUUUUUCAGAUAGUAUUUUUUUGCUUUGUUUGAAGCUAGUUAUUUGGUUUUAUUUGAAACUUAAUGGAUUAAUAAGGCUCCCGAGACUCUUCUUGAACAUUGACACUUGAUUAUUGUUUGUGAGCAAGUUACUUAAGAGCUUGGAAGGGGUAUGGUGUGUUUCUUCUUCUUUUUUUUUUCUUUGUUAUUUUUAUUUAUUUAUUUAUUUUUUUUUUUCAUUUUCAAUGUUUUUUAUGUUGCCAAGUCCCAUUUCACCUCUUGAACGUUACAUUGUUAUGUUUCUUGUUGAUGCUUAAUGGAUAGUGUUUUGGCCAUAGCUAUUCCCAGAUUUUUAAUGUUAUACUGUAUUUUUUUUUUUGGUGCGAUGGUAAUAGGAUGGUCGCUAAUACAUUGUAGGUAUUUUUAAAACUUUUUUGUGAUGGCAAAACAUUAGUCGCCAUAAGUAGGUUAGAUGGUCGCAAAUAGUUUGCGAUUGUUGUUUUACGGUCGCAAAAGUAUUUGUCACCCCUACAUUCGCGACCUCUAUUUGCCGUUGCAUGACCUAUCGCAAAAGAUAUUUUGCGGUUGUAUUUUUAUUAUUUGCAGUGGCUUAUAGCGGUUACAAAAAGUAGUUUUAGUAGUGUCAAUUGACCAUGGAUUUGAACAAUAGCUGCUUUGAAUUGCUUGAAUUUUGGAUGAUUACUCAUUGUUUGAACAUUGAUUCCAUACCAUGACUCAUUGUUCUUUACAAUUUUCCUUGAGUGCUUGAUCAAUUGCCCAUGAAUUGCCCAUGUCUUUGGAUUAUUCACAAUUUUGCCACAUGCCCCAUUGAUUGAAUGAAACUUGAACCAUGAAUUUCAACUUGAUUUGGGUAUUUGAAUAAAAUUUCCAUGACUGAACACAAAUUCCUUACUUCAACCUUGAAUUCACAUUGUCGAUUUUUUUUUUACGCGUUGUCCUCAGUUUAACAUUGUUGAAAUUAAAUCUCGAGAUUUUCUUCAAUUUACCACUGAUUUUGCAUUUUUCUUCCAAAAUUUUAACAAUGUUAGAACAUUUCAAUCACUAUUCCAAAUUUUCCCUUUUGACUGAUGUUUUGAUUGCUAUAACUUGGGUUGGGAUUUCUCGUACUCUUUCUUUGAUUCCACAGAUUGUCAUGGCUAGUGACGAUGCUCUGCACGAUAUUGUACCACUUACUAUCGUCGCAGAAGGUGACCUACCAUCACCUGUGCCUAGAGAUGAUAUUCCUGCACUUGUCGCAGAUGUUGAGGGACACGAUGAGGAUAUCAUGGCCGAGGAUUUUGAUGCAGCACCAGAACUAGUCCCUUUGAGGGUAAGGCCAUUUGAUCAUGUGGCCUACAAACCUCGU